rnacentral:lncRNA from 1 species
GGGGGAAGCAACACAACAACCAGUUGUCAAAUUCAUCUGAAAAUUUCAGGGCAGAUAGAUAUUGACUUGAUAAACAAUUUAACACCUUGUCAGAUUUGCUCUAAAUGCUUUGGUUUCAAAGUUAUAAGCCAAAGUCUACAUUUUACUCUGAUGUUCUAUUUAUAGCCAUGGUGGCCAUCUUGGUUGUAUGGCCGGGUCACCGGACACAUUUUUUUAA